UAACGCGUAGGUAACCUGCCUGGUAGCGGGGGAUAACUAUUGGAAACGAUAGCUAAUACCGCAUAAUAGUAGAUGUUGCAUGACAUUUGCUUAAAAGGUGCAAUUGCAUCACUACCAGAUGGGCCUGCGUUGUAUUAGCUAGUUGGUGGGGUAACGGCUCACCAAGGCGACGAUACAUAGCCGACCUGAGAGGGUGAUCGGCCACACUGGGACUGAGACACGGCCCAG
rnacentral:rRNA from 1 species